rnacentral:rRNA from 1 species
AUUGAACGCUGGCGGCAGGCCUAACACAUGCCAGUCGAGCGGAUGAAGGGAGCUUGCUCCUGGAUUCAGCGGCGGACGGGUGAGUAAUGCCUAGGAAUCUACCUGGUAGUGGGGGAUAACGUCCGGAAACGGGCGCUAAUACCGCAUACGUCCUGAGGUAGAAAGUGGGGGAUCUUCGGACCUCACGCUAUCAGAUGAGCCUAGGUCGGAUUAGCUAGUUGGUGGGGUAAAGGCCUACCAAGGCGACGAUCCGUAACUGGUCUGAGAGGAUGAUCAGUCACACUGGAACUGAGACACGGUCCAGACUCCUACGGGAGGCAGCAGUGGGGAAUAUUGGACAAUGGGCGAAAGCCUGAUCCAGCCAUGCCGCGUGUGUGAAGAAGGUCUUCGGAUUGUAAAGCACUUUAAGUUGGGAGGAAGGGCAGUAAGUUAAUACCUUGCUGUUUUGACGUUACCAACAGAAUAAGCACCGGCUAACUUCGUG